GAUGAACGCUAGCGGCAGGCCUAAUACAUGCAAGUCGAGGGAGAAUGUUGGAUUCGUCUGACAUGAAACCGGCGCACGGGUGCGUAACACGUAUGCAACCUACCUUUAACUGGGGUAUAGCUCAGAGAAAUCUGAAUUAAUCCCCCAUAAGACUACGACAUGGCAUCAUGAUGUGGUUAAAGCUCCGGCGGUUAAGGAUGGGCAUGCGGUACAUUAGCUGGUUGGUGAGGUAAUGGCUCACCAAGGCUACGAUGUAUAGGGGGUCUGAGAGGAUGAUCCCCCACACUGGUACUGAGACACGGACCAGACUCCUACGGGAGGCAGCAGUAGGGAAUAUUGGUCAAUGGACGCGAGUCUGAACCAGCCGUGCCGCGUGAAGGAUGAAGGCCCUAUGGGUCGUAAACUUCUUUUAUUAGGGAAGAAAAAACGGGAUGCGUCCUGUACUGACGGUACUUAAUGAAUAAGGAUCGGCUAACUUCGUGCCAGCAGCCGCAGUAA
rnacentral:rRNA from 1 species